ensembl:lncRNA novel transcript
GUGCUUGUCACUUAUGAACCCCAACGCAAGUCUCAUUUCAUUGUUCCGCAAGCCAUUUAUGAACGUGCCUGUGGGCAGCAGCUGUUUUACAGAUUUGAUUCUACUCUUGGUGAUCGCAUCCAAAUUCAUGGCUUUGAACUUCAAUGAUGAAGAUGACUCUCAAGUUUUGGUCUCCAGCUGAAACCUCUCCUCCAAACUCCAUACUUUUAUAUAUGCAACCACCUACUUGAAAUCUCUAUUUGGAUGUCUAACAGUGUGAAGCUGAAUUUUGGAUCUCGCAAACCCACUCCUCCCACAGUGCUUUCCACCUGUGGUCAGUUGCUCAGGCCAAAUACCCUGAAGUCAUCCUAACUCUUCUCUUUCUCAAGCCCCUUACAUCUAAAUUCAAAAACUCAAGGACCCAGAGGGGAACCAAGUUAUGUUAUACCAUUUACAAAAUACCAAGGAGUCCACAGCUACCUAACACAUUUACUACAGCACAGGAACCAAUGAAGUAAGAAAAGAAAAAUUGAAGCAUGAGAGAUGAGCAUUGCUGUCAAGUCCCCACAGCUGCCACAGAAACGCAUGUGCUGCUUUCCAUCAUCCCUUGCAUUCAAAAUGCUACUGAUGCAUAGCACCUAAUCAAGUCCCCAGGCUGCAGUUCCACUCGGAGGAAGCUACGUCACCUCC